CACACGACUGCCUUCCCUAAC
rnacentral:miRNA from 1 species